UCGAAUCGGUGCUCGACCCAGGCCUGGAGCACCGCUUCACGAGGAAGUAAAUCUUCAUUCCCGACGAGACGAGCGGCGAGGCGGCACCGCGGCUCCAGGCGGGGCGGCGGCUCCUCCGACACCCGCGUCAUGCCCUUCAGCUUCCAGCAGCAGACGAGCGGCUGAACAGACACUCCCCGGGAUGACUGAACGACAGCCAGGCUGGACUGAAUGAUCCAGCAGUUGCUGCAGUUACACUGGGACUUUCCAAAUACAGCAAAACAUACUCGCCACCUUCCUCUUGGCCACCCUGACUGUUGUGCAAUUCCAUGU